rnacentral:lncRNA from 1 species
CUUGUCUCUUGACCUUUUUAGCAUUGGACCAAUCAUGCUGCAAAGAUGAAAGGCCUUCUGACAGUGGAGGGGGCAACGGACCAGAUUUUGCAUAAUUGUUGCUCUCUGUGAGAACUGAUUGUGUAUUCGAAGUGAUAGGUCCAGAUAACUUCACGUCUGCCACAAGCUUUUCAUGUUUGAACUGAUCCAAAGGGGACGAAUGCCAUGAGUGAAGUACACUAGCAGUCUGGCCAGUUCGCCGGUGAUAGGUCCAGAUAACUUCUCAUCUGCCACAAGCUUUUCAUGUUUGAACUGAUCCAAAGGGGACGAAUGCCAUGAGUGAAGUAAACUAGCAGUCUGGCCAGUUCCCCUUGUUUGAGGGCGUACACUAUAUGAUUUUACUGAAUCCGUAGUUUUUG